UUUUUUUUUUUUACUUUGCAGACCAGAGUGCUCCCUUGACAUGAGUUUCACCUAACUGUUGUUCUUUCCUUCAAGUGUCAACCAAAAGAGCAAUGAUGAGCUUGGCGUGGGCCAUGGCUGAACCCGACUGGAGACCUCUGCGGCCCUCACACACAGCCACGGGGAGCUCACAGCCAUGAUUCAGUACGGCGCACAGCAGACAGAGAGGAGACACCUUACCUGUAUCAUCUACAGAUACCGCUUGAAAAAUCACACGUAAUUAGGCCCUUCUCACAGGGGAAGCUACUCGAAGCUCUAUCACCAGCUGGCAUACAUUUCCCUUGAGCAACGUCAGAUGAGAAAGUGAUUUCAUUUCCAUCACAGGGGAGAAGACAAACAGAAGACCCAGAGGCAGCGACUUGCUUGGAGGCCUCCAAGGUGAGAAAAUUGAGGAAUGAAAAGGAUACGUGACUUACCCAAGUAAGUGGGGUUCACAUCUAAACUGUCUGGUUUCAGAGCUCACAGUCCUGCCCACCCUGGAAAGACACAGACGUGCUGACAAGGAGCUUACAGAGUAAAAAGGGGUGGCAACCUUAACAAAAAAGACAAAUCAGUCAUUACAAACCAAGGCAGGACCAUGAUUGAAAAGAACAGGAAAAACAAGAGUUAAGAACAAUAAACUGUUUUAGCCAGGCGGCCAGAGAAGUCUUCUCCAGGUAGGUGAAUGUAUGAGGGAUGAAUACUAUCAGACCAAGAAUGGCUGAGACAGAGAAGACUGUGCUAUAGAGAACAGUAGGCAGAACACAGCUUGGUUAUGUUUGAAGGACUGAAAAAUGGCCAGUGCUUCAGAAGGCCAUAAAGGGGAGUGUGUCUCUUCUUGCUCGCUGCCAUAGGACAGGGAUUGGUCAAUAGAUUUUUUUUUUUGUAUGGCACCAAGGAGUAACUAUUUUAAGCUUUGUAGGCCAUGCAGCCUCCAUCACAAUUAUGCAACUCUGACGCUGCAGCGUGAAAGCUACUGCAUAUAAGUAAACAGGUGAGCAUGUAUGUUGCAAUAAAAGUGCACAUAGGGACACUGGAAUUUAGAUUUCAGUGUGACAGGAAACGGAUGAGCAUGUAUGUUCCAAUGAAACGGUAUAUACGGACAGCAGAAUUUAGACUUCAGUGAGACAGUUCCACAAAUAGCAAGUAUGUGUGCAAAAACACGUAAGAGUCACAUUUGGUGCAUUUCCAACACAUUAAUCCUUACAUAUAUCCAAGGCACCUUAACCUUAGAGCUCAGUGAAUUCUGUCAGCUGACGGAAUGUAAAAGCAAGAUACAAUUUUGAAUAAAAUUUAGUAACUGGGCUAUUGGUUUUUAAAUCACUCUUAAUCAGGAUUAUCCAGGAAAAAUAGUAUCAAUAGGAUAUGUAUGUAUAUGAAGAGAUUUGUUAGCAGAUAAAUGGCUCACACAAUUACGGAGGCUGGAAAGUUGCAUAAUUUUGCCCGCCAGCUGGCAACCCAGAAGAGGCAGUGGUGUAGAUCCUAGUCUGAGUCUGAAAGCCCAAGAAACAGGAGCACCCAGGGAAGGAGGGCCAAUGUCCCAGCUCAAGCAGCGAGUCUGGAAGGGCCAAACUCUUCCUUCCUCUGCCUUUAUGUUCUGUUCAGGCUCUCAGCAGAGUGGCUAAGCCCACCCACCCUGGGGAGGGCACAGUGCUUUGCCGAGUGCACUGGCUCAAAUGCUAAUUUCAUCUGGACACGCCUUCACAGACAUUUUCAGAAAUAACAUUUAACCAGUAUCUGGGCAACCCGUGAUCCAGUCAAGAUGACACACAAAAUUUUAACCAUUACAGUCUGAUAAAGAGGAACAAAUCAUCACCCAGGAAAAAGAAAUAUUGGCAUUGAUGAAGAUAAUACAAAGGAAUGUUCCAUCUUUACAAAGAGAACAACAACAAAAUAAUGAAUGCAUCAUCAUUCAAAGAGUAUUUCAGAUUGAUCACUGCCCCAGAAAACUAAAAUUGUCUAAAAUCUUAAGAGGUCGCCUAUAAAACACUUGACGGACACUUUCCUAAAGUUGACAUGACAAUCCUAAAAAUUUAUAUCACCUAACCAGUAAUGAGUUAUGAAGCCAAAAUAAAUUUUUCUAAAUUGACAAUAAAUUUUGAUCAAUCCAGAAGGUAGAAAGAUUAAAUCCUCUUUCGAAUAAUUUCUAUAGAAAAUGAUAAUCCAAGACCACUGUAUUAACAGGUAAUCCAAGAGUAUGUAGCCAAAAUAUACAGGAAACACACAUUAUAGGAAAAGUCAGGUAGUUAAUAAAAAAUAAACAUGUUAUUUGGGGGAUUUUGUGAUAUAUAUUUCAGCUUUAAAAAUUGCGUAAUUUGUGGAGUUCCUAUUGUGGCUCAGUGGGUUAAGAACCUGACUAGCAUCCAUGAGGAUGCGGGUUUGAUCCCUGGCCUAUAUCAGUGACUUAAGGAUCUGGUGUUGCUGCAGACUGAGGCACAGGUUGCAGGUGUGGCUGUGGCUGGCAGCUGCAGCUCUGAUUCGACCUCUAGCCCAGGAACUUCCAUCUGUUGCAAGUGUGGCCAUAAAAAGAAAAAAAAUCUUUUAACUUAUUUUUUUUGGUCUUUUUGUCUUUUCUAGGGCCAAGCCCAUGGCAUAUGGAGGUUCCCAGGCUAGGAGUCAAAUCGGAGCUGUAGCUGCCGGCCUAUGCCACAGCAACGUGGGAUCUGAGCUGCGUCUGCGACCUACACCACAGCUUAUGCCAACGCCGGAUCCUUAACCCACUGAGCGAGGCCAGGGACCGAACCCACAACAUCAUGGUUCCUAGUCAGAUUUGUUAAUCACUGAUCCAUGACGGGAACUCCUAUAACUUAUUUUUUAAAAUGUCUACAGUUCUUUUAGCCAUGCCUACAGCAUGCGGAAGUUCCCAGGCCAGGGCUUGAACCCAUGCCAUAGCAGUGACAACACCAGAUUUUUAACCUGUUGUACCACAGGGAACUCAUCUACAUCCUUUUUCUUAAAGCUGCCGACCUGCCUCUGCCUUGGAAGUGCGCUUACGGCCUAUUUCCCCAGGACAGCUAUCCUUUCCUUCCUUUGGACCUGUUCUCAGGCCUUCAGACUUGGGUCCUGGACUGGAACUAACUGGGCUUUCCUGGACCUCCAGUUUGCAGAGGGACUUAACCUCUGAAACCAAAUUGUUUGCAUACACAGUUACUUUUAAAAAUAUACACAGGAGACGGGAUUGAGACAGUGGAGUAGAAGGAGUAAAGCUCGCCUUCUCUCAUGAAAACAACAAAAUUACAACCAACGGCUGAACAACCUUCAACAAAACAGACUGGAAACUAUCAAAAAAGAUAUCCUACUCCAAAAGACAAAUAAGAGGCCACAUUGAGAUGGUAAAAGGGGUGAUUAUGUGAUAUAAGCAACUCCAUACCCACUGGGGGGAUAGCCCACAGACUGGAAAGUUAACUGUAUCACAGGGGCUCACCCACGGGAGUAAGGGUUCUGCGCCCCAUGUCAGGUUCCCAUGCUUGGGGAUCUGGCAUUGGGAGAGGGAGCCCCGGGAGCAUUUGGCAUUGAAGGCCAGUGGGGCUUACACACAGGAGCUUCACAGAACUGGGGGAAAUGGAGACUCCACUCUUGAAAGGCGCACACAGGCUUUUGUGUGUUUGGGUCCAAGGACAAAGCAGAGACUCCAUAGGAAUCUAGGUCAGACUUGCCUGUGGUUCUUGGAGGAUCUCCUGGGAAAACAGUGGGUGACUGUGGCUCGUUGUUGGGCAAGGAUACUGGAGGCAAAUGUCUCAGAAAUAAUCAUCAGCAUGAAUUCCUCUAGAGGUGGCUGUUUUGCAAAAAUUUAGCACCAGGCCAGAGAACAAACCCAGUGGGAACACAGCCCCACCCAUCAGCAAACAGGCUACCUAAAGGCCCGCCCCCACCCAGGCACAUAGACUCCUCUAAUCACACCCACAGACAAAGCCCCACCCACCAGAAGGACAAGACUCAGCUCCACCCACUAGGGGGCAGGCACCAGUCCCUCCCAUCAGGAAGUAGGCAGCAUGCCCCCAUACCAACUUCAGCCACCCUCAAGGGGGGCAGACAUCAGAAGCAAGAGACUACAACCCUAUUACCACACUAAAAAUCUAUACAAAAUGAAAAAGGCAUAGAAUUAGGACUCAGAUAAAGGAACAAGGAAAAAAAAAAAAAAA
rnacentral:lncRNA from 1 species